UAAAAUGUGUUUCUGGUCAAUUUUUAACGCGGAUGCGCAAUAAACAGCAACGUUGUCGUUCUGUCCCGAACCUAAUUGUUACGUUAAAACUUUAGCAACGUGGCGAAACAAAAAAAGGAAAUAAACGCCGCAUCCGGGGAAACCGCACAAAGCAAAACUUGGAACUCGCAGCUACCACAAAACAUUAAACAUUUCCACGCGACUACCGAUGCGGAAUAUCUCCAUUUACGUCUAGAUAAUGCGAACUGACUUCUAAAGUGUUAUGACUGCGUUAAUUCAAGUAGCUAUCAUCAGCAAUUAUAAUGUAAAUCCGUGAGUUUCCGCAGUUUGCAUGAUCGUAAUUAUUGUACUACGGAGCACAAUUCCGAUCGAAUCGAGCCGACUACCGCAACGAAAUUUCAACGCCCCACAUUGUACCAAUUCUACCAUUUGACUUAUAAUACGUUCGGUCUUCAUAAGAGGCCACAAAAAAUCACGAUCUGACUACAGAGUACAAAAAUAGACCAACGAUCUAUACGACUUAUGAUGACUGAGCAAGAAUUUUAGAGGUGAAGGUUUUUAUUUGAAAUUGUUUUAAAAAACUCUCAGCAAAUUCACACACUCAUAUACACACACACGCACACACAUAGAAGAAGAUUGGUAUCAUCAGAGUGUCAUUUUUCAGCGUUAUAAUGCACCUUAUUAUUAUAAUGUUCUGAACAACAUUUAUUUUAUAUAUAAGUUUGUAACUAUUAUUUAACCAGGUUAUUCUUAUAUUUUAAAAGUAUACGCAUGUCAUCCUUGGCCAGCAGGGAACGCCCAAUUUUCUUUCAUUAAAUACAAAUAACUCAAUCUUUUAUAGAGCCAGGAGCCCCAACCAAUGUGAUUUCCUUAACCAAACACGGCACCUACGCCAUUGUGCAUUUUGUUAUUGGUGCGGUAAAUGGGAGGUCCUAAGUUUUUAGGAUUUUGGAGUCAAAGCCGUGACAAUUAUUAUGGAAUUGUAUAUAUCUUUUAUUAAAUGUAGAGUGAGUCCUUUAUGGUCUAUAUUUUAAGGUGAAAACUUAUAGCAUUUAAAACUUUUGAUCAAACUCUUGUUUAUUCAGAUUAAACUUCGUGAUGACAGAAUUCGUCUGAAAUAAGAUAUCGAUGAGCUGUUGGUUCUUUCCCACCAACACCAAUCCAGAGCGUCUGUGGAUCUAGAUUGAUGCCACUAAACCUCCGAAGAAAAGUAGCGGCGGCAACAUUAUAUAACGACGGUAAAAAUAUAUCCAAAAGACAACAACAUAAAAUAACAACAAACAAUGUGUAGAAGGCAUCGACUAAAUACACUGCCUUAUUUAAAAGAUGUUAGAAUAUUUAGCAACAUGUAGAAAUUAUUAGGAUUAGACGAGGGACAUAUGUGUGUUCCUUCAAAAAAGAUUGACAGCCAAGACCCCUAGUAGCCGAUGCUGUAGAUUGGGUGUUUCAGUGGGCAAACCAGAAUUCACAACUCACCAAACCAAACUGUGAUGUGUAGUACCCAUUAUA